rnacentral:lncRNA from 1 species
CAGCUAAAACCUUCUCGAUUGCCUGUCACUAUCCAGAUGGUGGGUAGUUGAGAAAUUACAGUUUGAGCAAGCAGAAAUGCAGAUGUGGUAGUAGCAGGGGAAAAGGAUGAUGGCUGUCUUGGGAAGGAACCAAGAGAGCAAUCUUGGCUUAUUCUGACUUGAGUAUUGUGAAGGUCCUGGGAAGACAGAGUCAAGUUCACAUGAAGGUGUCCAGCCUCAGUGGUUGCUGGUAAAGUGCAUGGGUUUCAUACACAUAAAGGUCCCAGAUAAUCUCGGUGUCUGUAGAGCUUCAUCAUGUAAUGUUUGGUUUAUGGGAAUUCCUUUAAGAUUUCAGCAGAAAGCAUGGUGGCUUGGUUUGAAAUACAUCUGUACAAAAACAAAACAAGCAGCAACAAUAACGAUAGCAAACUGAGAUCUGGAUAAUGGAAGAAGCCAGCCACACAAAGAGGAAAGAGUGUCCCCCACCUCUCUCCUUUUGGGUGUGCCAGAGAAGCCUGCAAUCCCACUGCUUCUAACAGCCUUCUUGUGACUGAGGUAAGAUAGUCUUUGGGGAGAAGCAGAUCAUAGAUAUGGCAGAAAAGGGAGAGAAAAUGGGUCUUGGUAAACCA